rnacentral:misc_RNA from 1 species
UCCGGGUUGGACCCGGCGGUCCCGCCAGACAUGGUAACUGGCAGCGAGGGUUGCGCUCGUUGCGGGACUUAACCCAACACCUCACGGCACGAGCUGACGACAGCCAUGCAGCAUCUGUGCACGCUCCCUUGCGGGUCAUCACCGUUUCCGGCUUUUACCACGUGCAUGUCAAGCCCAGGUAAGGUUCUUCGCGUUGCGUCGAAUUAAACAACAUGCUCCACCGCUUGUGCGGAGCGUGUGGUU